AUUGCCUCUCAGCCUUUUGGCUGAGAUCAAGUGUGGUAUGUGUUCUUAACAGUUUUAUAUCUGAUAUCCGAUAUUCGAGUAUAUUAAAUGGAAUUUUGGAGCAGGGAGAUGGAUGGAAUAGGGCCUUGCUUCAUCCACUCCAUGCAUCCACCUGCAGUACCUCCAGAAAUGGUACACCCCCU
ensembl:snRNA U2 U2 spliceosomal RNA